rnacentral:rRNA from 1 species
GAUGAACGCUGGCGGCGCGCCUAACACAUGCAAGUCGAACGGCACCCACCUUCGGGUGGAAGCGAGUGGCGAACGGCUGAGUAACACGUGGAGAACCUGCCCCCUCCCCCGGGAUAGCCGCCCGAAAGGACGGGUAAUACCGGAUACCCCGGGGUUCCGCAUGGCACCCCUGCUAAAGCCCCGACGGGAGGGGAUGGCUCCGCGGCCCAUGAGGUAGACGGCGGGGUGACGGCCCACCGUGCCGACAACGGGUAGCCGGGUUGAGAGACCGACCGGCCAGAUUGGGACUGAGACACGGCCCAGACUCCUACGGGAGGCAGCAGUGGGGAAUCUUGCGCAAUGGGGGGAACCCUGACGCAGCGACGCCGCGUGCGGGACGGAGGCCUUCGGGUCGUAAACCGCUUUCAGCAGGGAAGAGUCAAGACUGUACCUGCAGAAGAAGCCCCGGCUAACUACGUGCCAGCAGCCGCCGUAAUAC